rnacentral:rRNA from 1 species
GCAUAUCAAUAAGCGGAGGAAAAGAAACUAACAAGGAUUCCCCUAGUAACGGCGAGUGAAGCGGGAAAAGCACAAAUUUAAAAUCUACCUGGUUUCCAGGUCGAGUUGUAAUUUGAAGGAACGUUUUUGACAUUCCGGGUUGGGAUAAAUCCUUUGGGAUAAGGUAUCAUGGAGGGUGAGAAUCCCGUGUAUACCAACCGCAGGGAUGUUAUUUAAUACGUUUUCUAAGAGUCGAGUUGUUUGGGGAUGCAGCUCUAAAUGGGUGGUAAAUUUCACCUAAUGCUAAAUAUAAGCGAGAGACCGAUAGCGAACAAGUACCGUGAGGGAAAGAUGAAAAGAACUUUGAAAAGAGAGUUAAAUAGUACGUGAAAUUGUUGAAAGGGAAACGAUUGAAGUCAGUCAUGCCGGCGGGAAUCAACUUAGAGGAAACUCUAAGUGCACUUCACGUUUGGCAGGUCAGCGUCGAUUUUGGAUGUCAUAAAAUGAUUGGGGGAAGGUAGCUCCUUCGGGAGUGUUAUAGCCCUUGAUAGAUGUGAUGUCUGGGAUCGAGGAUUGCAACGGAUACCCUUUGGGCUAGCCGCCUGAUCUCUAACUGGUGUUGGGUUAUGGACAGCAUGCUGACUGUGAUUUAAUUACUGGUUAAAAGGUUAGAGCGAGUGUAAAUUCGUUAAGGACGCUGACGUAAUGGCUUUAAACGAC